UAGAGUUUGAUCCUGGCUCAGGAUGAACGCUGGCGGCGUGCCUAAUACAUGCAAGUCGAGCGAAUGGAAAAAGAGCUUGCUCUUAUGAAGUUAGCGGCGGACGGGUGAGUAACACGUGGGUAACCUGCCCAUAAGACUGGGAUAACUCCGGGAAACCGGGGCUAAUACCGGAUAAUAUUUUGAACUGCAUGGUUCGAAAUUGAAAGGCGGCUUCGGCUGUCACUUAUGGAUGGACCCGCGUCGCAUUAGCUAGUUGGUGAGGUAACGGCUCACCAAGGCAACGAUGCGUAGCCGACCUGAGAGGGUGAUCGGCCACACUGGGACUGAGACACGGCCCAGACUCCUACGGGAGGCAGCAGUAGGGAAUCUUCCGCAAUGGACGAAAGUCUGACGGAGCAACGCCGCGUGAGUGAUGAAGGCUUUCGGGUCGUAAAACUCUGUUGUUAGGGAAGAACAAGUGCUAGUUGAAUAAGCUGGCACCUUGACGGUACCUAACCAGAAAGCCACGGCUAACUACGUGCCAGCAGCCGCGGUAAUACGUAGGUGGCAAGCGUUAUCCGGAAUUAUUGGGCGUAAAGCGCGCGCAGGUGGUUUCUUAAGUCUGAUGUGAAAGCCCACGGCUCAACCGUGGAGGGUCCUUGGAAACUGGGAGACUUGAGUGCAGAAGAGGAAAGUGGAAUUCCAUGUGUAGCGGUGAAAUGCGUAGAGAUAUGGAGGAACACCAGUGGCGAAGGCGACUUUCUGGUCUGUAACUGACACUG
rnacentral:rRNA from 1 species